GACGGGGGGGGCAAGUGUUCUUCGGAAUUACUGGGCAUAAAGCGCACGUAGGUGGUCCGCUAAGUCGCGUGUGAAAUCCCCCGGCUCAACCGGGGAAAUGCGCGUGAUACUGGCGGGCUUGAGAUCGGGAGGGGUGAAUGGAACUCCAGGUGGAGCGGUGAAAUGCGUAGAUAUCUGGAGGAACACCGGUGGCGAAAGCGGUUCACUGGCCCGACACUGACACUGAGGUGCGAAAGCUAGGGUAGCAAACGGG
rnacentral:rRNA from 1 species